UUUCUGCUGUUAUACUUACUAUUGCUGUAAGUACUCAAAAUUUCAGGAAGUUCAUUUACUUUGCAGUUCAAAACAUGAAAAAGGAGCAAUUAAUACAAAUGUCAAGAGGUCCAUAAAACGAUGGCUAAUGCAAUCUCCUGGCAGAAAUGGUGGUCGUGCAAAACGUGCCUUAAAAGCAGUAUUGGAUUACAGAGUAUUACAGAGCAUUGUAUUACAGAGUAUUACAGAGUAUU
rnacentral:lncRNA from 1 species